rnacentral:lncRNA from 1 species
CGGUGUGAGGUGUGGCUUUGUCUUCCUGAGCGGUGUGAGGUGUGGCUUUGUCUUCCUGAGCGGUGUGAGGUGUGGCUUUGUCUUCCUGAGCGGUGUGAGGUGUGGCUUUGUCUUCCUGAGCGGUGUGAGGUGUGGCUUUGUCUUCUGGAGCGGUGUGAGGUGUGGCUUUGUCUUCCUGAGUGGUGUGAGGUGUGGCUUUGUCUCCUUAAUGGUGUGAGGUGUGGCUUUGUCUUCCUGAACGGUGUGAGGUGUGGCUUUGUCUUCCUGAGUGGUGUGAGGUGUGGCUUUGUCUUCCUGAGCGGUGUGAGGUGUGGCUUUGUCUUCCUGAGUGGUGUGAGGUGUGGCUUUGUCUUCCUGAGCGGUGUGAGGUGUGGCUUUGUCUUCCUGAGCGGUGUGAGGUGUGGCUUUGUCUUCCUGAGCG